UGCAUUCACUAUUGUAAGUCGCUCUGGAUAAGAGUGUCUGCUAAAUGACUAAAA
rfam:Salmo salar isolate Sally breed double haploid chromosome ssa13, whole genome shotgun sequence.